rnacentral:rRNA from 1 species
UACGAAGGGGGCGAGCGUUGUUCGGAUUUACUGGGCGUAAAGGGCGCGUAGGCGGCCCUCCUUGUCGCGUGUGAAAGCCCCGGGCUCAACCUGGGAAUGGCAAUGGAUACUGGCAAGCUAGAGUGCGGUAGAGGGUAGUGGAAUUCCCGGUGUAGCGGUGAAAUGCGUAGAGAUCGGGAGGAACACCAGUGGCGAAGGCGGCUACCUGGACCAGCACUGACACUGAGGCACGAAAGCGUGGGGAGCAAGCAGG